GACGGUACUUGAUGAAUAAGCCACGGCUAAUUCCGUGCCAGCAGCCGCGGUAAUACGGGAGUGGCAAGCGUUAUCCGGAAUUAUUGGGCGUAAAGCGUCCGCAGGCGGCCUUGUAAGUCUGUCGUCAAAGCGUGGAGCUUAACUCCAUUUAAGCGAUGGAAACUGCAAGGCUAGAGUGUGGUAGGGGCAGAGGGAAUUCCCGGUGUAGCGGUGAAAUGCGUAGAUAUCGGGAAGAACACCAGUGGCGAAGGCGCUCUGCUGGGCCAUAACUGACGCUCAUGGACGAAAGCCAGGGGAGCGAAAGGGAUUAGAUACCCCUGUAGUCCUGGCCGUAAACGAUGAACACUAGGUGUCGGGGGAAUCGACCCCCUCGGUGUCGUAGCCAACGCGUUAAGUGUUCCGCCUGGGGAGUACGCACGCAAGUGUGAAACUCAAAGGAAUUGACGGGGGCCCGCACAAGCGGUGGAGUAUGUGGUUUAAUUCGAUGCAACGCGAAGAACCUUACCAGGGUUUGACAUCCUGCGAAUCCCUUGGAAACGAGGGAGUGCCUUCGGGAGCGCAGAGACAGGUGGUGCAUGGCUGUCGUCAGCUCGUGUCGUGAGAUGUUGGGUUAAGUCCCGCAACGAGCGCAACCCACGUCGUUAGUUGCCAGCAUUUAGUUGGGCACUCUAGCGAGACCGCCGGUGAUAAACCGGAGGAAGGUGUGGAUGACGUCAAGUCAUCAUGCCCCUUACAUCCUGGGCUACACACGUACUACAAUGCUACGGACAAAGGGCAGCAAACUCGCGAGAGCUAGCAAAUCCCAUAAACCGUGGCUCAGUUCAGAUCGUAGGCUGCAACUCGCCUACGUGAAGGAGGAAUCGCUAGUAAUCGCAGGUCAGCAUACUGCGGUGAAUACGUUCCCGGGCCUUGUACACACCGCCCGUCACACCAUGGAAGUUGGCCACGCCCGAAGCCGUUACUCCAACCCUUGUGGAGGAGGACGU
rnacentral:rRNA from 1 species